rnacentral:lncRNA from 1 species
GAGGAUUUCAGCUCAAGCCGUGGGUGUUCUCUGAGCAAAGUGGGAGGCAGGACGAGCCAGACAACAGCGCAAGAGCCAAAGAGGGAACCUUGGUCCUCCCAAAUCAAAUGGGUGAUGACGACAAUAAGGCACUCGGCCUUGGCUACAUUGUUGGGGAAGACAGGCUUCAUGUCAUGACUUCCAUAAAUUUCUCAAAGAGGAAGCAAAAGAUGCGGCUUGGUCAGAACCUCCUGCAAGAACAGGUUAGGCCUCAGACUCCCAAUCCCCUGACAAGAAGAGAGUUGCUCAGUCAGGUGGCUGGAUUGUAUGACCCAAGUGGCCUGGUGACGCCUGCAAAGCAGAAGGGAGCUAUCCUGGUGCGCCAAGCAUUCCAAGAGGCAAAAAACAAAAGUUGCCCAGCUAAAGACACAUGGGACACAGCGCUCUCAGAGGGCCUCAGGGAAGAUGCAAUUGAGCUUUUUGAACAAUAUGUCCAGCUCGGCAAGGUCAAAUUCACCAGGGCUCUAACUCCUUCAUGCCAUACCGGUAAGCCGUGGGCAGUUACAUUCUCAGAUGGGAGUGAGCAUUCCUACGGAGCAGUGAUGUAUCUGAGGUGGAGCUCUGAUCAAGGCCCCAUCAUCAAGCUGGUGGAGUCUAAAGCCAAACUAACCCCUUUGGAUCAGAAGGGCGAUGCUGUGAAAUCAGAGGUAUGUGGAGCAGUGUUUGCGUCCCGCCUGAAGAGGUACUUUGAAAAGCACAGCCAAAUCAAAGUUGAGAAGUGGUUCCAUCUUGUCGACAGCCAGACCGUUCUUGGCGCAAUCCAAAGAGAGAGCUAUGGCUAUCAAACUUUCUUUGCAAAUCGGAUAGGAGAAAUCCAAAGCAACUCACAAGUCCAGGACUGGUGGUGGAUCCCUGGUCCGCAGAACAUUGCAGACCUAAUCACGAGAGGAAGCGGCCCCAAACAACUUGAUGAAGACUCAGAGUGGCAGAAUGGUCCAGAGUUCCUGAGCCUUCCUGUGUGUGAGUGGCCGAUCAAAUCUGCAAAAGAAAUUGCUACUGCUGCCAGAGAGAGCAUCAACAAACUGCAAAAGAAAGCCUUUGUCGCUGCUCUGACGAGGGCACAGGCAAU